UCAGGAAAAUAUUUAUUACUAUAAUUUUAUAAAUAUGUAGAGAACAUAUACAUGUGUAUGAGGGAUUAUUAUUUUCAGAUUUCUCUAUUCUGAAUAAUUCCGGUCUCCAUGAAUCCCGGGUGCCCACCAUGAAAAUUUUACUUGAUCAACAAAAGGCCAUAGAGCAACUCGCCAAACUGUCUCACUACGACGAAAAUGUUCUUACGUAAGUCUCUUCUACCUUCCGUACUGCCUACAUACAUUAGCGCAGACUAGCUAGCUUUGCAAAUCCUGAAACAACAGUAGGCAGUUCACUGAAACAUCUUAACAAAAUACAGGUAUUCAGAGGGCAAACAAGUUCUUCAAGUUUAGGAAAUGGGCAUAUGGCGACCCUUGAACAUGUCCUGACUGAAUCCAAGGCAACAACAACUAUCAGUACACAAAAAGCAGCAACCACAUGGACCAUGGCCAUAAAGACUGAACAACGAAGUACAACAUAGACUAGCUGAACUGAACACCUCCAGCUCGAAAAGGAACCCUGCAUAAACAGCAAAGGACACAGUGAGCAUGGGGAAACGGGAAGAAAUGCAGGGAAUAUUAAAAUUCAGCUGGUUGGUCUAUCUAUCACAGGAUGUGCUAUAAACAAGCUGGAACGAUCAGUUGGUUGAUCUAGAUAUUUGAUAGGCGUCAUCUUGGGUAGCACUUGCAUGAAACAACUUGUCGUCACUGUCACAUUACAGGAAAAAUAAUGUACACUUAAGUUCUCUACCUUCAGAACUCCCUACAUUGGCACAGACUAGCUAGCUUUGCUAAUAAGGCAUACAGUUCAGGAACUUAAUACUUUCUGUUGCAGUGCUAACUGCCAAGCUUCCUGCCCUUGCUCAUUGCCACCAUUGGAAUGUUGCUGCCUGUAGCUACAAAGCACUUGUUGCAGCUCUAGCUGUUUCCCCAGUGUUGCUGUUGGGUGUCGUUUGCACCUAUCGUGAUGAUAAGCAGCAUCAAUGGCGCCAUUUAAGGCAAUUAUCUGGGGCCAGGUAUUGGGCGGUGUUAUGGUGGGCUGGAAGGAUGUAAAAAGUUGUGCACAAGGAUAUACCAUGCUAUUCUGCUUGGGUCUAAGCUUAUGAUUUUUAUCCAAGCAUGUUAUGUAUAGGUCGACUACUGAAAGAUAAUAAUCAUGAAGAAUGAUAACAAAUGCUUACAGGCGAGCAGAAGAUCUAUUGUACAUCGAUCCGCUCAGUGGGUACUCCAUGGUUACAUAGGAUGUUUAAAAUAUGGUUAACUACUUCCUAUGCAUAUUUCAAACAAUAAACAUAUAUGAGGAUUAUUUCAUAUGUGAACAAACUACCAUCCUAUGCAUAGGAUAAAUAUUCACAUGUGUCACCAUACUUCCUAUGCUAAUUACAAAUGAACAAACUACUUCCUAUGCAUUACUUCAUAUGUGUUCAUAUCUAAAUAAUCCUCCAUAGGUACUAGAAAGCUUUAUAAAAAAAUUGACAUUGGUUUGACAAAUAUUUGCCAUGUACUUGAAUGAAAAUCUACCAUGUGAAAAGAAGGUGUUUUAUCACCUUUAUAUACAUGAUUAUUAGUUCAUAUGUACAUACAAAUUCCUAUGCAUGUGAUUUACAAUACAAAUCAACAACAAUAAUGUUUCCCAAUGUUUAUAACUAAUCUACAUAGGCUAAAUCAACACACAUCCAUUCUAUUUCCCAUAGAAAUUUCAAAUCAAUCAUAAGCUAGGGUUUCACCACAAACAUGAAGAAUGGGGAAGGUUUUUCGGAUAGAAAAGAAGGGGGUCAGAGGAGAUUACCUUCUAGGAUGGAUUGGGCAACAAAUCCAUGGACGAAAUCUUCAAAUCGGAAGGUAUUGGGAGAGAGGAUUGAGAGGGGGAGAGGAGAGAGCGGCCG
rnacentral:lncRNA from 1 species